ACCCUCUCAGGGUCACACCUGGAGAGUUUCCAGUACUCUACCAGUGGCUACGGGAGGGAGAGUCAAGCAGAGGCCUAUCCAUUGCAUUCCUAGCUUGGGCAGUGGCUAGUGAGUGGAAGGCAAUCUGCUACAAGU
rfam:Ornithorhynchus anatinus chromosome 7, whole genome shotgun sequence.